CCAGCAAUCAACAAAAACCCAGGUACGAAGGCUUGGCUGCCCCUGACCUUUUACAUACCCCGAGCUGAGUUGGGGGAGGAGGGAACUUCUACACAAAAGGGUCCGAGGAAUGACCCGGCCUGCCUCAGCUACCUGCUGUUUCACACAAAGGGGCCUGAGGCCCCGGCUGCCUCUGGAAGCCAAAGAAAAGGGCCGAGAUAAUGAGUGGCUGGGCUACCGCUGCUCUCUUCAGAGAGACCCGAGAAGGAAGGCGGCCAAACCUCCCUGACAAUAAAGAAGUAACAAAUGAGGAAUAAAAGCUUAUGGAAGACAUCUUAACCCAGGGAUGAAAAAAAAUGUCAACAUCUGUGAGGUUUUCUGCACCAGCGGCCCCGGCCCUAAUGAAAACUCUCCAGAGAGCAUUCCCGGCACACAGGCAAAAAGGCUACAUUUUUCUCUGGGGCGUGGAGGGUUCGACCAGGCUGCCCUUUCCCUUUCAGAUGCUGCUGAACCAAGCACUAAUGUUCAUCUACAGCUUUCUGAAGGCUGAAGGGGCAGGAGGAGAAUGGCGCGGGCGCGAGACCGUCUUUAUUCCUCGAGUCGGAGGUUCCUGCCUUCAGUUCCUGGACAGAAAUUAGUACCCGACAAUGGAUUAUUGCUCUGCCAGACCUGCCCAUGUUUUGGGGAGAAUUGUGGAAGGACUUUGGAAGUUUUGUCUGGGAACUUUUGACCACUGAGUGUUUAGAGCACUGGGCUGUUACAUGAACCUGGAAGCUAAGCACACUGAGAGUAGUCCAGAACCAUUGAUGCUAGUCAUCUGAAGCUGAGAAAAGGGCCAAGAGAUCAGCAUCACUGAGGUAAAAUCUUCUGGGUGUUUCUUCUCAGAGUCAGCACACAGCAGCUGUGGUCCAGAGGUACCUUGUGCUGGUAGCCAAACUUGAUACCAUGAGUUUCCAAUGUAGUACUGAAAGUGUUUAUAAGGGUGUCAUGGAGCUAAGGCUUGGCACCACAUGUCUGAAGAGAGCCCGACAAGGCUGUUGAUGAAGGGGCAGCCUAGCUGCAGUAGAGACCCCAGCAUUUAGGAGAUGCCUGUACCAUGGGCUAACCACCAUGGACAGCAGCAGCUAUACAGGGGAGCCCACUUGAAUGGAGGAGACAAAUCAUAUGUGGUAGAGGGCAGAGCCUUAGAGGUGGACCCUGGGUCCUGUGGAGUCCAGGGCAUGGUGCGCCAAACCCAGAUAUGAAGCCCUGAACUUUUUACAUGGUUGGACUUUGAUUCAGUGGUAACUGGCCUGGUUUUUCCCUCUUAGAGUGAGAAAGCAUUUAGUUUGCUUCUCAAUUUUGUUAAAGUCCACAGUUGAGAGACUCUGGAUAUUUUAGAGGGCCUUUUGGGUGCUUUAAAGAAACUGAUAUUUUAAGGCAUUUGACUAAUAUAAGAGAUUUAAUGUUCAAAUAUGAAUUUUGAAUUUUGUACAGAACUUAAGUGAGUUUGGUUUUUGUUUGUUUGUUUAUUUAUUCAUUUAUAUGAACUUAAGAAAAAUUUAUGGAAAAAAGGAACCUGCCAGUCGUGAGGUGUGGCUCUCCACAUCUGUCCUGUUUCUCCCCCCACCCUGUUUUCUCUCUGAGCAGGCCCUUUGUGGUCUUCUUCCUGGCUUACAGAGGCCUCUUGUGCCCCAGGCCCUUUGUGGCUAGAGAGCCAGGCCCACUGCAUGUGGAACUCCCCAGACUACCUCCAAUGCCUCAGUCACUCCUGGCCCAGCUGCCCCAACUCUCAUCUCUUGGCUCUGUCCCAGCUCCUCUCCUCCUACCCCUGCUCAGCUGGGCGUGGCCUACUACUUGAAGCACAGCUGUGUGAGCUCAGGUCUGAAUUCUUAUGCCUACUCGGCUUCCAUGCGGGGCUGUUGCGGUUGCUCACUUUAUAGAUGUGAGUAGUUCUGUUGCUCCCCUGAGCCGGGAGGCUCCAUGGCCUUGGUGUUGAUGAGGGGCCUGAGAUGCAAGCACUCAUCCUCCAAGUCUGACUGGAGUCCCAUGAGGCUUGUGUUACUGUUGUGUUGCUGUGAAGAGACACCAUGACCAAGGCAACUCUUAUAAAAGCAUUAACUGGGUCUGGUGUAGAGUUUCAGAGGCUUAGUCUGUUGUCAUCAUGGUGGGGAAUCACACAGGCUGGA